rnacentral:rRNA from 1 species
CUACGGGAGGCACCAGGCGCGAAACCUUUACAAUGCACGAAAGUGUGAUAAGGGAAUCCCAAGUGCUUUACUACUAGUAAGGCUUUUGCCAAGAGUAAAUAUCUUGGCGAAUAAGUGGUGGGUAAGACUUGUGCCAGCCGCCGCGGUAACACCAGCGCCACAAGUGGCAACCGAUAUUAUUGGGCCUAAAGCGUCCGUAGCCUGUUUGAUAAAUUUUCUGUGAAAUCGUUGAGCUUAACUUAACGGUGUGCAGAAAAGACUGUCUGACUAGGAACCGGGAGGCGUCAAAAGUAUUCCUGAGGGAGCGGUAAAAUGCUAUAAUCUCAGGAGGACUUCCUGUGGCGAAGGCGUUUGACGAGAACGGAUUCGACGGUGAGGGACGAAAGCCAGGGGAGCGAACCGGAUUAGAAACCCUGGUAGUC